GUGAUUUCCAUGUCAGAUCAGAAUUUCUUCUUUCUACUGUGCCUCUGGAUUGAGGAUGCUUUCAUUGCUGAGUACUGCCUCAUAUGGUCAGAUGGGUUUGUAUAUCCUGGCUACAUCCACUCCCAGCUAAUUGUAUGCUCCCAGCCUAUUUGCUGGUGAGGCAGCAUGAAGAACAGAGGACUUGACUUUGUGUAACAACUAAAACACUGCUGUGUUAUCAA